rnacentral:rRNA from 1 species
GAUGAACGCUGGCGGCGUGCCUAAUACAUGCAAGUCGAGCGAACAGACGAGGAGCUUGCUCCUCUGACGUUAGCGGCGGACGGGUGAGUAACACGUGGAUAACCUACCUAUAAGACUGGGAUAACUUCGGGAAACCGGAGCUAAUACCGGAUAAUAUAUUGAACCGCAUGGUUCAAUAGUGAAAGACGGUUUUGCUGUCACUUAUAGAUGGAUCCGCGCCGCAUUAGCUAGUUGGUAAGGUAACGGCUUACCAAGGCAACGAUGCGUAGCCGACCUGAGAGGGUGAUCGGACACACUGGGACUGAGACACGGUCCAGACUCCUACGGGAGGCAGCAGUAGGGAAUCUUCCGCAAUGGGCGAAAGCCUGACGGAGCAACGCCGCGUGAGUGAUGAAGGUCUUCGGAUCGUAAAACUCUGUUAUUAGGGAAGAACAAAUGUGUAAGUAACUAUGCACGUCUUGACGGUACCUAAUCAGAAAGCCACGGCUAACUACGUG